rnacentral:ribozyme from 1 species
UAGAAAAAACGCACUGGUGGGGUAUGGAUUCGAAGCCUCUAGAAGGAUAACAAAGGCUCUCCACACUCUACUCCUACUCAAUACGUCCCCGGCGUACAGAGGGGUAACAUGUCUCUCCAUAUAUCUGAGCUUAGGUAUACGGGGAAACCCAACCCCUUGGGAGGAUGGGUGAUAUGGCAAAAUUNNNNNNN